rnacentral:rRNA from 1 species
AGCGAACGCUGGCGGCGUGCUUAACACAUGCAAGUCGAAUGCGCAGCAUUCUGUAGCAAUACAGGAUGUGGGCGCAUGGCGAACGGGUGCGUAACACGUGGGCAACCUUCCCUUCGGUGGGAGAUACCCCCGCGAAAGCGGGACUAAUACCGCAUAACACUCCCUUGGUUAGUUCUGAGGGAUUCAAAGCAGCAAUGCGC